rnacentral:rRNA from 1 species
GAUUAACGCUGGCGGCGUGCAUAACACAUGCAAGUCGAACGAUGAAACUUAAAUGAUUUCUUCGGAAUGAACUUAAGUGGAUUAGUGGCGGACGGGUGAGUAACGCGUGAGUAACCUGCCUUACACAAGGGGAUAGCCGUUGGAAACGACGAAUAAUACCCUAUGAAACUAUCACUUCGCAUGAAGCGAUAGUCAAAGUGUUAGCGGUGUAAGAUGGACUUGCGUCUGAUUAGCUAGUUGGUGAGAAAAAAGCCCACCAAGGCAACGAUCAGUAGCCGGCUUGAGAGAGUGUACGGCCACAUUGGGACUGAGACACGGCCCAGACUCCUACGGGAGGCAGCAGUGGGGAAUUUUGCACAAUGGGGGAAACCCUGAUGCAGCGACGCCGCGUGAUUUAGAAGCCUUCGGGUUGUAAAAAUCUUUUGUAUAGGAAGAAAAUGACAGUACUAUACGAAUAAGGUCCGGCUAAUUACGUG